CCAAAUAAUAUAUAUAAUUAAAGUCCAAAUGUCCAGUUAUACAAACGCAAUUACAAUGGCCCAAAUACCUCGGCCCAAUUACAUUGAAGCCCAAAACAAAAAGAAUCACAAACAGAAACCCUAGGGUUUCUGAGAUCUUCAGCCGCCGCUUUCCCUCGGCCUCACGCGUGCCUCCGUGCGCGCCGCGCCACGUCACCGUAUAAACGUACCUGCAAACAGAGGCAUACAAAACAACAACGAAGAAUAGCAAAAAAAGACAACAAAUAAUGCAAGAUUUUUCUGUAAUUUUUCUUUUAUUUUUCUGUUGUUUUUCUGCCAUAUAAAACCAUUUUUCUAGAAUUUGUAAGCAGGCAGGCAUAUUGAAUACAAAGAAAUAAAAAAAAGAGAAAAAUAUUCAAAGAAAUAAAAAGAGAUUCGAAAGGUGAUUUUCUAGAUUUUUUUUGUUGUUUUUGUUUCCUUCGAUUGGUUUUGAUGGCAAAACUAAAAGAGAAAAGAAAAGGAGGAGUCAGAAGAUAAAACGUUUACCUGGUGGUCAGAUUCUAUGCUCAUUUCCGUCGUAAUCGGAUUUGGGCGAAUGAUCGGAGAGCGACGGAGUGGUUGUUGUACAAAGCGGCGGAAGGCAAAUGUUUUAGGUUUAGUUUUUAGUGGCUGUUGAUUUAGGUUUUUGUGGCUUUUAUGUAACCUAUAACACGGUACCGUUUGGAGUCUGAUCUGUGGUUCCAAAAC
rnacentral:lncRNA from 1 species